UCUCUAAAUCGUCUUCCUCUUCGACCCUCACUCCGCCGACCAGACCAUCCGACAAACAACCACCGUCGAUCUCUGAAAAUGUCGUCGACCGUCUCCCAACGUUGUCUGUCACUGCCAAUCAUCGCCCACUGUCCAUCUUUGGAACCAAGCGCCCGCCGUCGACGUCGGAGACAUUUACUAAGAAUUUGUGUAGGUUGGUGAUGAAACAUUUUGGUAGCUUACAAUGUGUUUGAUGAAAUGCCUCAAUGAAGCAUUUUGGUUGAUUUUUGUUCGUUCGAAUUAGGAAAAUCAAGGCCAAAGGAGAUGUCAUGGCUAUGGCUGAAACCUUUUUCGCCUCUUUGCUUACUUGGAAUCUGAAUCCGUUCAUCGUGUUUUCUCCGUCUUCUUGUAUCGUUGUACACUGUCGCUUUAACGACGGUGUAAUUUUUCGCUAAUGCAAUCCGAUUUGAGAAAAUAUAUUUUUCUUGAGUUAUGCUGAUCAAUUACGUUUUACGACGCUUUGAUCACGAGGAAAUUGGAGCAGGAUUGAUGAAGAGGAAAAGUUUAUCUUUAUUUUUAUGUUAUGUUGAUUUGUCCUUCUUGAUGCUAUACUUCUUAGAUGUGGUUCUGAAGGAAAAGGAAAAAUAAUUUGUGGCUUGAAGCAGUAAUUCUUCUAUAAUGUUUGUAUCAUUGUGUUCGUGUGCCCGUCUGUGUUUUUGUUUUAUAAAAAAUAUAUACUAGCUUCACUAGGCAAAAUCAAUACUGUACUUGUUUGUUCAAGAUAUUAUUAGACAGAAAUGGAAAUUUUGAAGUCUCGAAACAUAGAUUACGAAAUAUGUCCACUCGAAAUUAUAAUUAGAUAUAGCCAAAAACUUCAUGUAAUUAAAACUCUUGAAAAUUUUUAAGAAGCUUGAAAGCGAUAUGUACAAGGUCGUGUGUGGUCAAUGUGAGACUUGGUUCAAAUCUGUUCAGUUAGUGUUAUUUUGCCGUCUUAGAAUUACUAUGACCUUUUGAUAUGACUAUUGUGGAAAUAUACUGUCAAAGGUAUGCUAUGGACGUCAAUGUAGAGAGGGCUGAAGAUGCUCUCAUGCACAAAAAUCUUCUCUAUAUGGCACAUGAUCCUGCUACUCGACCUGCAAUUGACGUCCGUCUCGUACAUGUAAUGUCUAUCACGAACUAUUGAUUAUUGCGCUAGAUUUUCAUAUUACAGAAGUAAUGGAAUUUGAUGUUACAUCUCUCGCUAUCUUUGUCUCUUGUAUAUAUUUUCUUCUUAUAAAAGUGAUUAUCGCAAUUUCAUAGUUUGCUAGUUUGGCUGUCUUAUCGCCAAAAGGUGUUACAUUAUGUCAGGAUUCUAACCCACUUUCUAAUAAAACACUCAACAAUGGCUAAAUAGAGAUAGCACCCUGUGAUUCUUUAUUUAUGUAUAUAGCCAAAAGAUACAGCUACAAUAUGAAAUGAAAGCAAGAACAGUAAAUAACAAGAACAUACCAGCAUCCUUUAAAAGGGCGUUCUUAGUUUUCCUUCCUUACUAAGAGUGGCAGUUGAUGUGUCGAAGGGAAUGGACUAUUUGCAUCAAAAGAAUAUCAUCCAUAGAGAUCUAAAAGCUGCAAAUCUUUUGAUGGAUGAAUAUGGGGUUAUCAAGGUAGCUGAUUUUGGUGUUGCUAGAGUGCUAGCUCAAUCUGGUGUGAUGACUGCCGAAACUGGAACAUAUCGUUGGAUGGCUCCGGAGGUUAGUAUCAUGCAAAUAUAUACUAUUCACCCUAUGGACAUCAGGUGCUGCGUUGGCAUUCAUGAAAAGUGUAGAUAUUAGAUUUCAACCAAUGUGUAAUGGAUCAGAUUUCUAUGUACCUCAUAUUUUCAUAUUUUCAUGGUCAUAUAUGGUACACGUUCAGUUUCACACAGCACUAA